UGUUAUUUUUUUAUUUACAAUAUUAUCUUUCUAGGUAUCUUGCCAGUGGAGACAGUAUGAUGUAAAUAUCCUAUGCCUUUCGUAUCGCUCCUUCAACAGUGAGCAUUAUUAUUAAAGAGACAUGUGAUGCUAUUUGGGACUGUUUGAAUCGAAAAGUUUUACUGACCCCAAAAAUAGAUUCCUGGUUGCAGAUUGCUGAAGAUUUUAAAGCCAAAUGGCAGUUAUCACACUGUGUUGGAGCUAUUGAUGGGAAACAUGUCAUAAUCCGGGCCCCAGUAAAAUCUGGAUCUACAUUUUUUAAUUAUAAAGGGACGCACAGUUUAAAUCUUCUAGCAUUAUGAGAUUGCAAAUUAUAAGUUUACACUAGUGGAUAUUGGGGCAGAAGGUAGACACAGCGAUGGUGGAAGUUUAAAAAAACUCUGAAAUCGGGAGGUUGAUAACAACAAAUAAUAUUAAAUUUCCAGCACCAACAGUUCUAGGCGAUAAGGGGAAGUUAUUCAAUUAUUACAUUGCAGCAGAUGAAGCUUUUCCUCUGACUACUUCUAUUAUGCGCCCAUAUCCAGGUCGGUUUCUCGCACAAGAUAAAAGAGUUUUUAAUUAAAGAUUGAGUCGUGGCCUAAGGGUAAUUAAGAAUGUUUUUGGAAUUUUGGCUCAAAGAUGAAGAAUAUACAGAAAAACAAUAAUCGCAGGUGUACCAACUGUUGAAGCCAUAAUUAAAGCCACUGUAUGCCUACAUAAUUAUGUAAUAAAUGCAGAAGCUAACAACAGGAGUACCAGAAGUUAUUUUACUCUUAAUAGUAUUGACAAAGAAACCAAUCAGGGAGAAAUAAUUCAUGCAGACUGGAGAAAUGAUGAUUCCA